rfam:Dipodomys ordii contig_76992, whole genome shotgun sequence.
GGUGGCUCAGUGGUAGAGCGCCUGCCUUGCAUGCAUGAGGCCCUGGGUUCCAUUCCUCAGCACCA